UUUAUACUCCCUCUGUCCCAAAAUUCUUGUCUUAAGUUUGGCUAGAAAUGGAUGUAUCAAAAUACUAAAACAUGACUAGAUACAUUCAUAUAUAGAAAAAUCUAAGAUAAGAAUUUUGGAAGGGAGAGAGUAUUUU
rfam:Hordeum vulgare subsp. vulgare, WGS project CAJW01000000 data, contig: morex_contig_1561763